GAGUACGACCGCAAGGUUAAAACUCAAAGAAAUUGACGGGGGCCCGCACAAGCGGAGGAGCAUGUGGCUUAAUUCGAUGCAACGCGAAGAACCUUACCCAGACUUGACAUGUAUCUGCACGUCCUGUGAAAGCAGGAUUCUUUCGAAGGUGAUACACAGGUGCUGCAUGGCUGUCGUCAGUUCGUGCCGUGAGGUGUUUGGUUAAGUCCAGCAACGAACGCAACCCUUGUGACUAGUUGCCACUCCGCAAGGAAGCACUCUAGUCAGACUGCCCGUGCAAACGGGAGGAAGGUGGGGAUGACGUCAAGUCAGUAUGGCCCUUACGUCUGGGGCUGCACACGUGCUACAAUGGCCGGUACAGAAGGCUGCAAGACCGCGAGGUGGAGCUAAUCCCUAAAACCGGCCUCAGUUCGGAUUGGAGUCUGCAACUCGACUCCAUGAAGUUGGAUUCGCUAGUAACGGCGCAUCAGCUACGGCGCCGUGAAUACGUUCCCGGGCCUUGUACACACCGCCCGUCACAUCAUGAAAGCCGUCUGCACCCGAAGUCGUUGAUCCAUCCCGCAAGGGAGGAAGAUGCCGAAGGUGUGGGUGGUAAUUGGGAUGAAGUCGUAACAAGGUAACCAAGGGCGAA
rnacentral:rRNA from 1 species